GAUGAACGCUGGCGGCGUGCCUAAUACAUGCAAGUCGAGCGAACAGACGAGGAGCUUGCUCCUCUGACGUUAGCGGCGGACGGGUGAGUAACACGUGGAUAACCUACCUAUAAGACUGGGAUAACUUCGGGAAACCGGAGCUAAUACCGGAUAAUAUAUUGAACCGCAUGGUUCAAUAGUGAAAGACGGUUUUGCUGUCACUUAUAGAUGGAUCCGCGCCGCAUUAGCUAGUUGGUAAGGUAACGGCUUACCAAGGCAACGAUGCGUAGCCGACCUGAGAGGGUGAUCGGCCACACUGGAACUGAGACACGGUCCAGACUCCUACGAGAGGCAGCAGUAGGGAAUCUUCCGCGAUGGGCGAAAGCUUGACGGAGCAACGCCGCGUGAGUGAUGAAGGUCUUCGGAUCGUAAAACUCUGUUAUUAGGGAAGAACAAAUGUGUAAGUAACUAUGCACGUCUUGACGGGACCUAAUCAGAAAGCCACGGCUAACUACGUG
rnacentral:rRNA from 1 species